rnacentral:misc_RNA from 1 species
GGCCCAGUGCCAUUGAUUUUUGGAGAAGGUUUCGGAGUUGAGAGUUUUGAAAACAAUUCAGAGCUUUGUGGGAAGCCCUUGAAAGGAUGUGAGGAUUCUUGGAUAUGGAAACAUGUAGAUCGUGCUUCGUUCAUCAAAGCGUUUGUGAUUGGUUGGGUACUUUUGUUUACAUUGGUUUUAGUCUUUUGUUUAUUUAUAUUACCUACCAAGGCUAUCAACAAGAUAGUCUCAUUGAACAUAUGGAAGCUAAGGAAAAAG